rnacentral:rRNA from 1 species
UACGUAGGGCGCGAGCGUUGUCCGGAAUUAUUGGGCGUAAAGAGCUCGUAGGCGGCUUGUCACGUCGGGUGUGAAAGCCCGGGGCUUAACCCCGGGUCUGCAUUCGAUACGGGCUAGCUAGAGUGUGGUAGGGGAGAUCGGAAUUCCUGGUGUAGCGGUGAAAUGCGUAGAUAUCUGAAGGAACAUCAGUGGCGAAAGCGACUUCCUGGACCAAUACUGACGCUCAUGUGCGAAAGCGUGGGGAGCAAACAGG